rnacentral:snoRNA from 1 species
AAGACUAUACUUUCAGGGAUCAUUUCUAUAGUUUGUAACUUGAGGAAUGAGUUUCUAAAGUGUUGGUCUCGCUAACCACGAUGAAGAGCUGUUGAUACUCUUUCCUGAGCGCGAAGCGAGCGGAGAGUCCUGAUUCUUUCAUGUGUUUCUGCUUUUGAUGACCGUUCAGCGUCUCCUUCCGGGGACUUUGAGGGGAGGAGUAUGAUCAGAGUGGU